UGGGGAAUAUUGGACAAUGGGCGAAAGCCUGAUCCAGCCAUGCCGCGUGUGUGAAGAAGGUCUUCGGAUUGUAAAGCACUUUAAGUUGGGAGGAAGGGCAUUAACCUAAUACGUUAGUGUUUUGACGUUACCGACAGAAUAAGCACCGGCUAACUCUGUGCCAGCAGCCGCGGUAAUACAGAGGGUGCAAGCGUUAAUCGGCAUUACUGGGCGUAAAGCGCGCGUAGGUGGUUUGUUAAGUUGGAUGUGAAAGCCCCGGGCUCAACCUGGGAACUGCAUCCAAAACUGGCAAGCUAGAGUACGGUAGAGGGUGGUGGAAUUUCCUGUGUAGCGGUGAAAUGCGUAGAUAUAGGAAGGAACACCAGUGGCGAAGGCGACCACCUGGACUGAUACUGACACUGAGGUGCGAAAGCGUGGGGAGCAAACA
rnacentral:rRNA from 1 species